AUGAACGCUAGCGGCAGGCUUAACACAUGCAAGUCGAGGGGUAUAGGUUUUCGGACCUAGAGACCGGCGCACGGGUGCGUAACGCGUAUGCAAUCUACCUUUUACAGAGGGAUAGCCCAGAGAAAUUUGGAUUAAUACCUCAUAGUAUAGUGAUACCGCAUGGUACUACUAUUAAAGUCACAACGGUAAAAGAUGAGCAUGCGUCCCAUUAGCUAGAUGGUAAGGUAACGGCUUACCAUGGCUACGAUGGGUAGGGGUCCUGAGAGGGAGAUCCCCCACACUGGUACUGAGACACGGACCAGACUCCUACGGGAGGCAGCAGUGAGGAAUAUUGGACAAUGGGCGCAAGCCUGAUCCAGCCAUGCCGCGUGCAGGAUGACGGUCCUAUGGAUUGUAAACUGCUUUUGCACAGGAAGAAACAACGCUACGUGUAGCGUCUUGACGGUACUGUGAGAAUAAGGAUCGGCUAACUCCGU
rnacentral:rRNA from 1 species